GGGGUUGGAAUGUAGUGGUUUAAAAAUUACAUGUUUAGCAUAUAUGAAUGUUGAAAAUACAAGCCAGGGACUGGAAGCUGGCUAAGGAGCUCCC
rfam:Alligator mississippiensis ScZkoYb_286, whole genome shotgun sequence.